ensembl:snRNA LOC120097201 U6 spliceosomal RNA
CAUACUUUUACGUGUGCUUUGGUAGCACACACCACGAUACAGAGAAGAGUUACAUCAUCCCUGUAUAAGGAUGACACACAAUUUUGCAAAGGAUUCCAUAUUAAU